CGUACACUCCUGCGGGAGGCAGCAGUGGGGAAUAUUAGACAAUGGGCGCAAGCCUGAUCCAGCCAUGCCGCGUGAGUGAUGAAGGCCCUAGGGUUGUAAAGCUCUUUCACCGGUGAAGAUAAUGACGGUAACCGGAGAAGAAGCCCCGGCUAACUUCGUGCCAGCAGCCGCGGUAAUACGAAGGGGGCUAGCGUUGUUCGGAUUUACUGGGCGUAAAGCGCACGUAGGCGGACUAUUAAGUCAGGGGUGAAAUCCCGGGGCUCAACCCCGGAACUGCCUUUGAUACUGGUAGUCUUGAGUUCGAGAGAGGUGAGUGGAAUUCCGAGUGUAGAGGUGAAAUUCGUAGAUAUUCGGAGGAACACCAGUGGCGAAGGCGGCUCACUGGCUCGAUACUGACGCUGAGGUGCGAAAGCGUGGGGAGCAAACAGGAUUAGAUACCCUAGUAGUCCCAUG
rnacentral:rRNA from 1 species